UUUAAUAAGUUUUUUUUCCGGCUCCGGAUGAACGCCGGGGGCGUGCCUUAUACCUGCAAGUCGAGCGAACGGACGAGAAGCUUGGCUUCUCUGAUGUUAGCGGCGGAGGGGUGAGUAACACGUGGAUAACCUCCCUAUAAGACUGGGAUAAUCUUCGGGAAACCGGAGUCUAAUACCGGAUAAUAUUUUGAACCCGCGUGGUUCAAAAGUGAAAGACGGUCUUGCUGUCAUUUAUAGAUGGAUCCGCGGUGCAUUAGCUAUUUGGUAAGGUAACGGCUUACCAGGGCAACGAUGCAUAGCCGACCUGAGAGGGUGAUCGGCCACCCUGGAACUGAGACCCGGUCCAGACUCCUACGGGAGGCAGCAUUAGGGAAUCUUCCGCAAUGGGCGAAAGCCUGACGGAGCACCGCCGCGUGAGUGAUGAAGGUUUUCGGAUCGUAAAGACUCUGUUUUUUAGGGAAGAACAAUAUGUGUAAUUAACUGUGCACCUCUUGACGGUCCCUAACCAAAAACCCCCGGCUAAUUACGUGCCCCCCCCCCGGGGAUAAAAA
rnacentral:rRNA from 1 species